rnacentral:lncRNA from 1 species
AUCUGAGAAAUUAGUUUAAGCUGGGAUGCUGAACAGUCUUUCCCAGCAAUGUGGCAGCAGGGCUGCUCCAUGCAGGGAGGGAGGCAGAAGCAAGGUGGGCUGUGUCCACACUGACAAGUGUUCAUGCUUUGCUGCUGGUUCAGUCAGAGCCAUCAGGUACCACCUACUCAUCCUCAGUUGUUGCCUGUAGGGCAAGCACCCAAAACUCCUUUCUGCCUGUUCUCCACAUACAGUUUAAACUGUUUUAACCUGUUUUCUCAAAACAGGAAAAGGGAAUCUUGAUGGGAAAAAAUGUAAGGAAAAACUAAUAAGAAAUAUAAAUAAAUUAUGUAAAAACCUCUUUGAGGCAAAAGAGGCCACAGUGGAACAGAGAGGCCACAGGGCAUGAAGGUAGCCAGAGAUGUUCUUAAUAUGAUACUAGAGAGGACUGGGAUUACAUACAGCCCCUAUGAAGUUAUAUGAGGGGUGGCGUGAGGAUGACAUAGCAUAUCUUGUAUGGGAAGAGUGAAGUCUGAGUGGGACAAAACCAAAAAGGAGCAGUAGCUGCAGUGCUCAUUUUGUCUGUAGAGUAAUAAUGGGAAUUAUUUUUACUGAGAGAAGGAAAGAUGGCAUACUGAAAUUCACUGUCUGAAAGACUUUAAGUGUAGGGCCUAAGGCCAAUCUGUUUUUUUCUACCCUCCCCUCAGUGUAUCCAGCACAGGUGCUUUGAGUUCCAAGGGCCAGUUGGACAGGGUAACUAGCAGGCCAGGCACCUAAUUUAAGUAGAUCUUUGAAUGCCUUUGUGGAAGGUGAAUCAGUGAGAAAGAUGGUACUUAUGUUUGUUUGGUUUCAAAUAAAUUGCUGGUAAUAGCAAAGAAGUUCUAAGUUACAGGAAAAGAGCCAUAAGUGUGUUACUGGACUUAUGAUGAAAUUUCAAGUAAAGGACAGAAAUGCCAUACUUCUUGCAGUACUGCCUGGAUUCAAGGGCAUGUUGUUUAUUUGUGGGCUUCUGAUACUGUGCUGCUAUCAAGCCUCCUUCAGAUGGGCCUUACUCAUGGAUUGGGGUACACAAGAUGCGAUGCAGUCCUUUUGUGAGGGGAAGGUGGGUUGCUGUUUUUGUGUGUGUGUGUGUUUUAAAUGGUGACACACAAUGUAUUUCUUGGCAAAAUGAUAAGUUUUAUAUAAGCUACUGAUGUUACUUGACAAGGAAGACACCCAGCAUAAGAUGUGCUUUUAGUGAAAUACCCAUUGAACAAAGGGUGUUGUUUUUUUUUUUUGAAUCUAUUUAACUAGUAUAAUCUAUUUUGAUUUUUAAAUAAACAUCAGAAUACUGCUUUCUGAAGCUUAACA